AUUGAACGCUGGCGGCAUGCUUUACACAUGCAAGUCGAACGGUAACAGGCCGCAAGGUGCUGACGAGUGGCGAACGGGUGAGUAAUGCAUCGGAACGUGCCCAGUCGUGGGGGAUAACGCAGCGAAAGCUGUGCUAAUACCGCAUACGCUCUAAGGAUGAAAGCGGGGGACCGUAAGGCCUCGCGCGAUUGGAGCGGCCGAUGUCAGAUUAGGUAGUUGGUGGGGUAAAGGCUCACCAAGCCAACGAUCUGUAGCUGGUCUGAGAGGACGACCAGCCACACUGGGACCGGGACACGGCCCAGACUCCUACGGGAGGCAGCAGUGGGGAAUUUUGGACAAUGGGCGCAAGCCUGAUCCAGCAAUGCCGCGUGCAGGAAGAAGGCCUUCGGGUUGUAAACUGCUUUUGUACGGAACGAAAAGGUUUGGGUUAAUACCCUGGGCCGAUGACGGUACCGUAAGAAUAAGCACCGGCUAACUACGUGCCAGCAGCCGCCGUAA
rnacentral:rRNA from 1 species